GAUGAAGAACGCAGCGAAAUGCGAUACUAGGUGUGAAUUGCAGAAUCCCGUGAACCAUCGAGUCUUUGAACGCAAGUUGCGCCCGAAGCCAUCAGGUUGAGGGCACGUCUGCCUGGGCGUCACAUAUCGUUGCCCAAUGCCUAUUGCAGUGCAAUAGGAAUUUCUAGGGCGAAUGAUGGCUUCCCGUGAGCGUUGUUGCCUCGCGGUUGGUUGAAAAUCGAGUCCUUGGUAGGGUGUGCCAUGGUAGAUGGUGGUCGAGUUAGAACGAUACCGAUCAUGUGCAUGCUCCCCAAAAUAUGGCCUCUAUGACCCACACGCGUCUUUUGACGCUCAUGACGAGACCUCAGGUCAGGCGGGGCUACCCGCUGAAUUUAAGCAUAUCAAUAAGCGGAGGA
rnacentral:misc_RNA from 1 species